UACGUAGGGGGCGAGCGUUGUCCGGAUUUAUUGGGCGUAAAGAGCUCGUAGGCGGCUUGGCAAGUCGGGUGUGAAACCUCCAGGCUCAACCUGGAGACGCCACUCGAUACUGCUAUGGCUAGAGUCCGGUAGGGGACCACGGAAUUCCUGGUGUAGCGGUGAAAUGCGCAGAUAUCAGGAAGAACACCCGUAGCGAAGGCGGCACUCUGGGCCGGUACUGACGCUGAGGAGCGAAAGCGUGGGGAGCAAACAGG
rnacentral:rRNA from 1 species